GGAAUCUUCCACAAUGGACGAAAGUCUGAUGGAGCAACGCCGCGUGAGUGAAGAAGGUUUUCGGAUCGUAAAACUCUGUUGUUGGAGAAGAACACGUUUGAGAGUAACUGUUCAGACGUUGACGGUAUCCAACCAGAAAGCCACGGCUAACUACGUGCCAGCAGCCGCGGUAAUACGUAGGUGGCGAGCGUUGUCCGGAAUUAUUGGGCGUAAAGGGAGCGCAGGCGGGAAGGCAAGUCAGUCUUAAAAGUGCGGGGCUCAACCCCGUGAUGGGAUUGAAACUGUCUUUCUUGAGUGCAGGAGAGGAAAGCGGAAUUCCUAGUGUAGCGGUGAAAUGCGUAGAUAUUAGGAGGAACACCAGUGGCGAAGGCGGCUUUCUGGACUGUAACUGACGCUGAGGCUCGAAAGCGUGGGGAGCGAACA
rnacentral:rRNA from 1 species